GGGUGCGUAGUUCACCGGUAGAACGCUUCUCUGAUAAAGAAGAGGUAGAAGGUUCGAUUCCUUCCGCACCCA
rnacentral:tRNA from 1 species